CCUAGAAUUAAUCUAAGGUGCAACCUGCCCAAUGAUUUCAAAUUAAUAAACAUAAACGUUUAAAAUGAAAUUUAAAGGACGCAGUAAUCUGACUGUGAUAAUGUAGCAUAAUCACUCGCCAUUUAAUUGAUGGAUAGUAUGAAUGGUUAAACGAAUCCUUCACUGUCUUAAAAAGAGAAAUCAUGAAAUUGAAAUGAUAGUAAAGAUGCUAUCUAAAAUUGUAAGACGAAAAGACCCUAUAGAGCUUAACUACCUUCUUUUUAAAAAUAAAGGAAAUUAAAGUCCUAAAAAAAGAAAGAGUGCUAGUUUAGUUGGGGCGACUAUCUUCUAAAAAUAACGAAGACAAGCAAAAUUAAUAAGUAAUUUAUUGUAUAAUCCAUAAAUUUAACAAUUAUAAAAGUAGGCUAUAAUGACCCGUUAAAACUAAGUAAUUAGAAUAACGAUUAAUAAAUAAAAGCUACCUUAGGGAUAACAGGAUAAUUUUGUUCUAGAGACCCUAUCGAAAACAAAGUUUGUCACCUCUAUGUUGAAUUAAGAUAUCCUGAUAAUGCAGAAGUUAUCAAAGGUAGGUCUGUUCGACCUUUAAAAU
rnacentral:rRNA from 1 species